rnacentral:lncRNA from 1 species
AAAAAGUUCAGAGUAUACUAGCAUAUCCUUGGUCCUCAAUUGCUAAACUGUUUCUCUCCUGGCUGGGCCAAUGUCCAAUAAUUAUUAAUUCUUGUUGACUCACUGAGUGACUGAUGCUUCCUUCGCACUGUUCCUUUUGCUCUGUGACCCACCCUGUAUUGCCUGGUACUGACUUUGACCCAUAUAAACUACCCCCCUCUUCCUCCUACUCUUUUCUUCUUUGUGGAUCUUAUCCAGAAGGUGGGUGGGCUUAAUGAGGAGGUUGGAACAGUGACAAUGGUGGCUGGGUUGGCAGACAUGCUUGCUCCGUGGGACUUUCCUAACCUGCACUUGGAGUUCCUUCUGGGUUAUCUGGCUUCUUACUGGCCCCUCAGAAGGAGACCUACAUCCCCUGUGAGAAAUGCAGCUACAUAUCCACCCCAUUGUGUUCUGCAUUCUCUUGGUAAUGUCAGCACUUGUUACAUCCUGGAAAAGCCUAAUGCAGAGUCGCUUAAGGCAAGAAGACCCAGAGCAAGCAAGACUGAAACAAAAAGCAAAGGAGGCAGCUGUCACAUGCAGAGGAGUUUCGUUUUUCAAAAGCAGAAGGUCUUGAGAAUGAAUUCAAUCCUCAGGUUCCUGUUUUAA